CAUCCUUCCUCUAGCCUUACAAAGGACGAGUCAAAAAGGCCAAAGUACAAAGAGCUACUGAAAGAUCCGUUCAUCCAGAUGUACGAGGAGCGCUCGGUGGACGUGGCGAGUUACGUGUGCCGGCUCAUGGAUCAGAUGCCGACGUCUCCCAGCUCACCGAUGUAUAUGGACUGAUGGCACGACAAGACACACAAACACAUCACUAAAUAUUCACCAUGCAGUCUGCAACAAUAGAAGCAUUAAAAAAAAAAAGAAGAAAACAAAACAAAUCCUUGUGUACAUUUGCUUGGUCCCCUUAUUG